rnacentral:rRNA from 1 species
AUUGAACGCUGGCGGCAGGCCUAACACAUGCAAGUCGAACGGUAACAGGAAGAAGCUUGCUUCUUUGCUGACGAGUGGCGGACGGGUGGGUAAUGUCUGGGAAACUGCCUGAUGGAGGGGGAUAACUACUGGAAACGGUAGCUAAUACCGCAUAAUGUCGCAAGACCAAAGAGGGGGACCUUCUGGCCUCUUGCCAUCGGAUGUGCCCAGAUGGGAUUAGCUAGUAGGUGGGGUAACGGCUCACCUAGGCGACGAUCCCUAGCUGGUCUGAGAGGAUGACCAGCCACACUGGAACUGAGACACGGUCCAGACUCCUACGGGAGGCAGCAGUGGGGAAUAUUGCACAAUGGGCGCAAGCCUGAUGCAGCGAUGCCGCGUGUAUGAAGAAGGCCUUUGGGUUGUAAAGUACUUUCAGCGGGGAGGAAGGGAGUAAAGUUAAUACCUUUGCUCAUUGACGUUACCCGCAGAAGAAGCACCGGCUAACUCCGUG